rnacentral:lncRNA from 1 species
UCAAAACCAAACUCCCCUUAAUCUCGGCCAUAUCUCCUUGACUCCUUUAUCCUGGAACUCUCUCCUAUAUUUUACGAUCCUCCAAUUUCAUCAGCCUCCCCUCCACAAUCAAUUGACCGGAGAUCUUCACCAUCACAACCACUCACGCCAUCUCCAACCUCUGUCAACCACCACCGCCUGAAAACCAAUUCACCAAGAAGCACCAACCACCAAACGGUCUCCCACAUACCCUAAACAUCACCGUCAGCCAACAACAACCACCACCACCAUCGAGCUUCCACUGCCAUCAACGAAAACUUCUAGCUGAAAGUAGAAUAAUACAAUGCAUAUGCUUCCGUAUCUCUCGAGGUUCUUUUGAUGCAACCCUUUGAUCCGUGCUAAGUUGCCUUUAAGUCGUAGAUCCCGACAAAAAUCUUUAGGUUCUGGUUCAUCUUCCUUUAUAUCAGGCUCUUCAUCUCCUUUGCUGAAAUCAUUCCUUGUGUUCCUCCAUCAAUUGAAAAACUCUAAGACCACUCACCACCAUCAUUCAACCCUGCAACGCCACCACUGAACCACUAACACAGCUCUCUCCCUCUCCGUCUCUCUCUAAAAAAAUGCCUAAACACUAAUCUCGCUCUCUCUGCACAAUCUUUCACGGCGUUCCUCCAUCUCUCUAUCGGGUUCUCUCAUCAUUUAACAUUAAUUUCAAUUUUAGAAGCUCCAACCUCAUGUAUAAUUUAUGGCAAUCGCUCCACCUACUACUUCUAAAAUGUACAUGGCGGUCCUAACCUUCUCAGGCUCUUCUUCUCUCUCUGAAAACCCUAGACCCCCACCACUCUCUGUAUAGAACCGUCAUACCCACACAAUUUCUUGGUAAUAGAUCCAGGGAGAUAAAGUCAUCUAAAAAUGCCGAUGCUUUUCUCUUUCAACACAACGAUGACCGCUGAUUUAGGGCUUAUUUGAGAAAGGUAAUGAUGUUUCAGUUUAAGAUUUGUAGUGCUUAUAAUUAGACCCAUUUUAAUAUUCUCAUAGUCUUUCUCCCCUUCCUCCCUAUCCCAUAUCCUUGUCUACAGGUCCUGUACGGUUCAUGGGAUGCUUGUAAGAAUCCUCUUUCUUGAAACUCUUUCUCUUUGUUUCUAUUUCUCUCUAUCAUGAAUAAAUAGCGAUUUAUGUGAUUGUACUUGUGUAUAGAUAUUUACACCGAUGAUCAUUUUAAUGGAUACAAAACAGGGGCUCAUGUGAACAUUUAAAACUCUGUGAGAUUUACAAUUGACAGUGUAACGAUUAUUUAUAUUUUGCUACAAUUUAUGGAUUUAAUCUUGUAUGUAUGCUCUGUAUGCAUACAUACAAGAUUACUAACUUUGAAUUUAUAUCUUUUUGACUGAUCUCUUUGAGUAAUGUUUGGUAUGGUGUAGUUCUUUCAUGUGGUGCUAUUUAUUAUAUUUGGUGUAUGUUUUAGCCGGAUGGGUUUGGGGUAUCUCUUGGGCUUUAUACAAUAAAGUUCACAUUUAUUCCAAUAAUAAGAUUUUUUUUUUGUUUUCCGGCUCCUAGAGACAAUUAGGUUAUUUGUUGAUUUUUAUUUAUAUUAUACAGUUCACAUUUAUUCCAAUAAUAAGAAUUUUUUUUUUUUUUUAGCUCCUGGAGACAAUUAUAUUAUUUGUUGAUUUUUUUGGUAUUAUGUGAAAGGAGAGGAGAAAUAUGGUGUGGUGUGGUGUUGACUAAAGAAUUGUGGUUGUGGCUUCAACCAACAGGUAAUAGCCUUGAUCAACUAACUCUUUCAUUUAGUGGUUCAGUGGUUGUUCCAAAAAAAAACUCUUUUUGUUUAGUGGUUUCAUUUGGGUUUUAUCAUAUCAAAAUCUUGUACUCUUAUUUUUUAUAUAAAUGUUUUACACACCCUAUAUUCAAAGAGAUGUUUGCCAUUAAACAUCUAUAUAUUCGAGAAAAAAUAAAAGAAAAUUGUAAUAGGGGUGGUCAUACGCUUAAUAUUGCAUUAUGUUGCAUUAACACUAUUUUUUAUAACUUUAUUGUAGAUAUUUUCUUAUUAAAGCAUUGUACUUUGAAAGUACAAUGCUAUAAUUGGGUGAAUGUUUUAAAAUUAUACUGCUUCCAAACUACAAUGCUUUAAUUAGUUGCAAAUUUCAUUAUCUUUAACUAAACCUUUUCUUAGUUAAUUUUUUUUUUAAUUACUUGGCAUACCUGAGAUAUUACUCAUUAGAAGAUAGUUCCCUUCUAACCAAAAUUUAUUGUUUUUUAAUAUAUUCUUUAUGAUUUUAACAGGUUGAAGUGACAAACGGUUGUCCUAAGAAACAAACAUAAACAUGACCGACAAGAACAUGACUGGGGAACGAAUAGUAAUUAUCAAACUAAUGGGGUUAUUUGUAAGAAAAUCUUAAAGAUUAUGAAGAUUUUUAUACUACUACUAUAAUUUGAAUACGAUAUCAAGGCCAUUUUAUGAAAAAAUUGUAUAAUUACCAAUAUAGUCGUGAUGCAUGAAACUAAUUGUUUAAAUUCAAUGAUAUAUAUUCAUGACAUUGACUUUAA